AUUGAACGCUGGCGGCAGGCCUAACACAUGCAAGUCGAGCGAGCGGCGGACGGGUGAGUAAUGUAUGGGGACUGCCCGAUAGAGGGGGAUAACUACUGGAAACGGUGGCUAAUACCGCAUACGGUCGGAUAACCCAUAUGGGAUUAGCUAGUAGGUAAGGUAAUGGCUUACCUAGGCGACGAUCCCUAGCUGGUCUGAGAUGAUGAGCAGCCACAUGGGGAUUGGGCCACGGCCCAGACUCCUACGGAGGCGUCAGUGGGGAAUAUUGCACAAUGGGCGCAAGCCUGAUGCAGCCAUGCCGCGUGGAUGAAGAAGGCCCUAGGGUUGUAAAGUACUGUCAGUCGGGAGGCGUUACCGACAGAAGAAGCACCGGCUAACUCCGUGCCAGCAGCCGCGGUAAUAC
rnacentral:rRNA from 1 species